ACGACGUUGAUAGGCCGGGUGUGUAAGCGCAGCGAUGCGUUGAGCUAACCGGUACUAAUGACCCGUGAGGCUUAACCUUACAACGCCAGAGGCGUUU
rnacentral:rRNA from 2 species